AUUGAACGCUGGCGGCAUGCUUUACACAUGCAAGUCGAACGGUAACAGGCCUCAAGGUUCUGACGAGUGGCGAACGGGUGAGUAAUGCAUCGGAACGUGCCCAGUCGUGGGGGAUAACUACUCGAAAGAGUAGCUAAUACCGCAUACGAUCUAUGGAUGAAAGCGGGGGACCGUAAGGCCUCGCGCGAUUGGAGCGGCCGAUGUCAGAUUAGGUAGUUGGUGGGGUAAAGGCUAACCAAGCCAACGAUCUGUAGCUGGUCUGAGAGGACGACCGGCCACACUGGGACUGAGAGACGGCCCAGACUCCUACGGGAGGCAGCAGUGGGGAAUUUUGGACAAUGGGAGCAAGCAUGAUCCAGCAAUGCCGCGUGCAGGAAGAAGGCAUUCGGGUUGUAAACUGCUUUUGUAAGGAACGAAACGGCUCUGGUUAAUAACCGGGGCUAAUGACGGUACCGGAAGAAUAAGCACCGGCUAACUACGUG
rnacentral:rRNA from 1 species